GGGGGGGGGGGGGGGGGGGGGGGGGGGGGGGGGGGCGGGCGGGGGGGGGCGGGUUUGGGGGGGUGCUGGAGGGGCGGAGGGGUGAGUGACGGGUGGGUGACCUGCCCUUGACGUUGGGAUAACUUCCGGCAACUGGGGCUAAUACCGGAUAGGAGCUGCUGCUGCAUGGUGGGGGGUGGAAAGUUUCGGCGGUUGGGGCUGGACUCGCGGCUUAUCAGCUUGUUGGUUGGGUAGUGGCUUACCAAGGCUUUGACGGGUAGCCGGCCUGAGAGUGUGACCGGCCACAUUGGGACUGAGAUACGGCCCAGACUCCUACGGGAGGCAGCAGUGGGGAAUAUUGCACAAUGGGCGGAAGCCUGAUGCAGCAACGCCGCGUGCGGGAUGACGGCCUUCGGGUUGUAAACCGCUUUCGCCUGUGACGAAGCGUGAGUGACGGUAAUGGGUAAAGAAGCACCGGCUAACUACGUG
rnacentral:rRNA from 1 species